rnacentral:rRNA from 3 species
GAAGAGUUUGAUCAUGGCUCAGAUUGAACGCUGGCGGCAGGCCUAACACAUGCAAGUCGAACGGUAACAGGAAGCAGCUUGCUGCUUUGCUGACGAGUGGCGGACGGGUGAGUAAUGUCUGGGAAACUGCCUGAUGGAGGGGGAUAACUACUGGAAACGGUGGCUAAUACCGCAUAACGUCGCAAGACCAAAGAGGGGGACCUUCGGGCCUCUUGCCAUCAGAUGUGCCCAGAUGGGAUUAGCUUGUUGGUGAGGUAACGGCUCACCAAGGCGACGAUCCCUAGCUGGUCUGAGAGGAUGACCAGCCACACUGGAACUGAGACACGGUCCAGACUCCUACGGGAGGCAGCAGUGGGGAAUAUUGCACAAUGGGCGCAAGCCUGAUGCAGCCAUGCCGCGUGUAUGAAGAAGGCCUUCGGGUUGUAAAGUACUU